GCGGCGACGGUCGCGGACGCUGCUGAUCUGCUGGAAGUGCACGUCGAGCAGCAGGAACGCGGCGCAGGCGAGGAAGGCCCCAAGGCCGAGCGCGACGCCAAAGCGGCAGGCACCCGCGUUGCCGUUGAAGACGCAGCGCAGCUCCGGGUCGCUGUCGGCGUUCACGUAGCCCUCGUUGACUAUGGGCCCGAAGACGGCGAUGGAGAACACCUGUGGGCGGCGGGAGCGCUCAGGGCCCUACGGUGGCCCCUUCCUGGUCUAGGCCCGAGGUCUCCUAGCCCACCCCCCAGCUCCUAGAGACUUAGUCAAGAGUGAAACCAAGGUGCAAGAUACGGACACGUACCCACAGAUUGGUGCACAAGUCAGGGGUCACGGGUUCGAGCCCUGGUCUGGGAAGAUCCCACAUGCCGCAGAGCAACUAAGCCCGUGUGCCACAACUACUGAGCCUGCGCUCUAGAGCCCGCGAGCCACAACUACUGAAGCCCGCGCCUAGAGCCUGUGCUCCGCAACAAGAGAAGCCACUGCAAUGAGAAGCCCACGCACUGCAAUGAAGAAUAGCCCCCGCUCACCACAACUAAAAGAAAGCCCACGCGCAGCAACGAGGACCCAA